AGUGAACGCUGGCGGUAGGCCUAACACAUGCAAGUCGAACGGCAGCACAGUAAGAGCUUGCUCUUACGGGUGGCGAGUGGCGGACGGGUGAGGAAUACAUCGGAAUCUACUUUUUCGUGGGGGAUAACGUAGGGAAACUUACGCUAAUACCGCAUACGACCUACGGGUGAAAGCAGGGGAUCUUCGGACCUUGCGCGAUUGAAUGAGCCGAUGUCGGAUUAGCUAGUUGGCGGGGUAAAGGCCCACCAAGGCGACGAUCCGUAGCUAGUCUGAGAGGAUGAUCAGCCACACUGGAACUGAGACACGGUCCAGACUCCUACGGGAGGCAGCAGUGGGGAAUAUUGGACAAUGGGCGCAAGCCUGAUCCAGCCAUGCCGCGUGGGUGAAGAAGGCCUUCGGGUUGUAAAGCCCUUUUGUUGGGAAAGAAGAGCAGCAGGUUAAUACCCCGCUGUUCUGACGGUACCCAAAGAAUAAGCACCGGCUAACUUCGUG
rnacentral:rRNA from 1 species